rnacentral:rRNA from 1 species
AUACGGAGGGUGCGAGCGUUGUUCGGAAUUAUUGGGCGUAAAGAGCAUGUAGGCGGUCUGUUAAGUCUGGUGUGAAAGCCCGGGGCUCAACCCCGGAAGUGCAUUGGAUACUGGCAGACUUGAGUAUGGGAGAGGAAAGCGGAAUUCCGAGUGUAGGAGUGAAAUCCGUAGAUAUUCGGAGGAACACCAGUGGCGAAGGCGGCUUUCUGGACCAAUACUGACGCUGAGAUGCGAAAGCGUGGGGAGCAAACAGAAUUAGAAACCCUAGUAGUCC